AUGAACGCUGGCGGCGUGCCUAACACAUGCAAGUCGAGCGCGAAAAUUCCUUCGGGAAUUAGUAGAGCGGCGGACGGGUGAGCAAUGUAUGAGAAUCUGCCCUUUAGUGAAGAAUACCUUCGAGAAAUUGAAGUUAAUACUGCAUAAGUCCCUGCGGGGAGAAAGAUGGCUUUAUUGCUGUCGCUGAAGGAUGAGCUCAUAUGCUAUUAGCUUGUUGGUGGGGUAAAGGCCUACCAAGGCGAAGAUGGCUAGCCGGCCUGAGAGGGUGUACGGCCACACUGGAACUGAGACACGGUCCAGACUCCUACGGGAGGCAGCAGUGAGGAAUAUUGCACAAUGGGCGAAAGCCUGAUGCAGCGACGCCGCGUGGAGGAUGAAGGUCUUAGGAUCGUAAACUCCUGUUAAGUGGGAAGAAAUACCUACCAGUAAUAUGGGUAGGGGAUGACGUUACCAUUAGAGAAAGCACCGGCUAACUUCGU
rnacentral:rRNA from 1 species